GACGAACGCUGGCGGCGUGCUUAACACAUGCGAGUCGAACGGUAAGGCCCCUUCGGUGGUACACGGAUGGCGAACGGGGGAGUAACACGUGAGCAACCUUCCCUUGACUCUGGGAUAACAGUUGGAAACAGCUGCUAAUACUGGAUAUUCAUCGUCUCCUUCCUGGGGGGGUGUGGAAAGCUCCGGCGGUCAGGGAUUGGCUCGCGGCCUAUCCGCUGGUUGGUGAGGUAAUGGCUCACCAAGGCUUCGACGGGUAGCCGGCCUGAGAGGGCGACCGGCCACACUGGGACUGAGAUACGGCCCAGACUGCUACGGGACGCAGCAGUGGGGAAUAUUGCACAAUGGGCGCAAGCCUGAUGCAGCAACGCCGCGUGCGGGAUGACGGCCUUCGGGUUGUAAACCGCUUUCAGUAGGGACGAAGGGUGACUGACGGUACCUAAAGAAGAAGGACCGGCUAACUACGUG
rnacentral:rRNA from 1 species